AGUGGAAUUGCUGGGUCAUAUGUUAACACUGUUUAACUUUUUGAGGAACUUUCAAACUGUUUCAGAAAGUGGCUGCACAAUUUUACAAUCCCACUAGCAAU
rnacentral:pre_miRNA from 1 species